rnacentral:rRNA from 1 species
AUUGAACGCUGGCGGCAUGCCUUACACAUGCAAGUCGAACGGCAGCACGGGUGCUUGCACCUGGUGGCGAGUGGCGAACGGGUGAGUAAUAUAUCGGAACGUACCUUAUCGUGGGGGAUAACGCAGCGAAAGCUGUGCUAAUACCGCAUAAGCCCUAAGGGGGAAAGCAGGGGACCGUAAGGCCUUGCGCGAUUAGAGCGGCCGAUACCUGAUUAGCUAGUUGGUGAGGUAAAGGCUCACCAAGCCAACGAUCAGUAGCUGGUCUGAGAGGACGAUCAGCCAGCAUGGGACUGAGACACGGCCCAGACUCCUACGGGAGGCAGCAGUGGGGAAUUUUGGACAAUGGGGGCAACCCUGAUCCAGCAAUGCCGCGUGAGUGAAGAAGGCCUUCGGGUUGUAAAGCUCUUCUGUCAGGGAAGAAACAGCAGCUCUAAUACAGUAUGCGAAUGACGGUACCUGAAGAAUAAGCACCGGCUAACUACGUGCCAGCCGCCGCAGUAAGAC